rnacentral:rRNA from 1 species
GAUGAACGCUGACAGAAUGCUUAACACAUGCAAGUCUUUGGCGAAUCUGUGCUUGCACAGGCUAGCCAAGGCGGACGGGUGAGUAACGCGUAAAGAACUUGCCCUGCAGACAGGGAUAACAGACGGAAACGACUGAUAACACCUGAUACAGUUGCCGGCACGCAUGUGCCUGGCAAUGAAAAGAGAUGCUGCAGGAGAGCUUUGCGUCCUAUUAGCUUGUUGGUGAGGUGACGGCUCACCAAGGCGAUGAUAGGUAGCCGGCCUGAGAGGGUGAACGGCCACAAGGGGACUGAGAUACGGCCCUUACUCCUACGGGAGGCAGCAGUGGGGAAUAGUGGACAAGGGGGGCAACCCUGAUCCAGCAAUUCUGUGUGCACGAAGAAGGUUUUCGGAGUGUAAAGUGCUUUCAGCAGGGAAGAAGAAAGUGACGGUACCUGCAGAAGAAGCGACGGCUAAAUACGUG